GCUCGGAACGUGGAGGAUGAUUGGGGGACGCGCAGUGCGAGAUCGGGCGCGCUCGUAGGCGCCCCGGCUCCACGGAGCAUGACCUCCCUCGUCAACCCCGGAGUCCUAUUCCACCUCCCCUUUGCACUAAACCUCUAUGACCUUGAGGGAGACUGUUUUCCCGUCAGUCCAAGGAAGGGUCGAGGGGCGGGAGCUCUGACCCCUAAGGGCCCUAACUGCGUUCUGCCAGGCCGGGGUCGGGGCGUCGGGAGCCCCUGCUCUAGGCUGACGUUCCCAGGGGACGGACGAAUGGAUGCAGGCGGCUACUAAUGAGUGGCGGACUCUGUGGCAAUCUCUGUGCUUAACAUACUGGAUUUCACUUCAUUUUCACAACCGGUAGCGGUGGAAAUUAUGACCCCCAAUUCACGAGGCUCGCAGGGAGGUGGCCUCCCAUGUGAGGAGCAGCCAGAAGGGAAACCAGCAGCUUCCUGUGCACAUGGAUUCGCCGGAAAGGCCAGGUGGGGCAGAGGAAAAGCAUUCCCUGCUGAGGAACAGUUGGAGCAAAGUCCUAGGAGCGGCUGAAGGAGGCUGGAGAUGUCAGUGGGGAGCGGCCAAGCUACCUAUGGCCUUGAACGCUGGGCCAAGGAGCUUGGGUUUGUCCUGAGGAUCUGGAAGUGAAUGAAGGAAGGGUUUGGAAGUCAGUUGGUUAGUGAAUUAUUUCAGGCAUACAAAAAUAACCAUAACGGAUGCCUGGCAACCAGAGUCCAGUUCAAGCAAUAACAGUCUUUCAGGGCUCAUCUUGAGAUCCCAAUACAGACCAAAGACAGGAUGAAAUUAAAACAAGUAAUACCAAGGGAACCAAAGAAUCCAACAUACAUAGCAAAGGAGUGACAUUCAGAAUGCAUGAAGAUCUCCUGCAACCCGAGUUAAAUCUUUGAAGAGAAUACAGGUGACUAUCAAGGAGGUAGGGCGCCUGCUGCACUUUUAGCAACGAGAACCUGGAAGACACCUAAGUGACCGUUCAGAGGGGAAUGGCUAAGAUAAUCGCGACGUGCCCUUCCCAGGUCUGGUUCGCGCCGCCCAGCCGCUGGGCCCUGCUGGGCCCGUGGAAAGGACUGUGCGAGCCUGGAGCCCAGGGCCCAGCUCCCUCACAGUGACACCCCGGACUGCCAUAUGACCAAUGCACGGGCCAAGCUCAGUCACCAGGCGGAGACACUGCCCAGAGGCCGCCCAGAGGCCGCCCCGAGGGGAGUGGGGCUCUCACCGUACGCAGCUCUGCCUCCAAACCGAGCUGUUAGGAUUCCUCGGUGUAUGGUUCAACACAAAAAUGUUGAAAGAAAAAGCAUACAUAUUGUUUGGGGAAUGCUGGAAGCCACACAUUGAUCUGUUGCCAGCAGUGCCUCUCGGGGAGAGAAUCAGCGAGGAGAAAGGGACCCUUUUAGUUCUUUUCCUCUGUGCCUUCUUUGUGGUUUGAAUCUUUCAGAAGGGACUCAUAUUCAGAUAUCAUCUGUGUCA